UAUGCUGCAGUUUCGAGAGCAUAUUCUCAAAAAGAGAUUGGAAGAUCCAUGAACACAUCAUGGAUCGCACUAUAUCUAAUAAGGUGUGAUUUCUCCUUUCUGCAAUUUUAUUUAAUUGUAGAGUGUAAAGAGGUGUCCAUUAAGAGAGUAUACCAUUUUGUUUUAAAUGAUCGAAGAACUCACUAGUCAAGUAUUCUCCUCCUCGA
rnacentral:lncRNA from 1 species